rnacentral:lncRNA from 1 species
GCAGUGAUGUUUGGUGUUCUUGAUUGUAGCUGGGCAAGGGACCACAGCCGGUGACCAUAGACAUUCCCAGCAGACGAGGCAGCCUCCAUUCACAAGUGACAUGGAUUCUCAUCCCCAGAUGUCUGAGAGAUAAGUCAAGGGCUAAGGCCCACAGAGGGGAUGAAAGCAAGGUGCUGGGAGGGCUUUUGAAUGAGCUCUGGGGGUGGGAUGUGCAAGAAGUGUCCCUUUAGGCCACCUGAAGGGAAAAUGCUUCUUUUGAUCACAGUGCUGAGGUGCGCAGGGCAGAGCAGUUCCGGUGUGUGUCCUGUCACUUGUCUCUGGUGCACUGUGUGAUAUUUGGGUCUCUCAGUCCUUUCUUCUUGUCGAAAGCUCUCUCUCCCUGUCCUGUCCCCUCUUUGUCAUGUCCUGUCCUGUGUCACGGGUGUCUGCACAUAUUUGUCCCGGAGCUGCUCUGCCCUGCUGCUAGCCUGUAAUAGCACAAGUCCUGGGACUUGAAAUUGGUAAUGCAGGGUGUGUUUGGGCUCUAGUUUUUUUGUUGAUUGCCUAACAUUUUUGGUGCUUUUAAGUUGUCCUGCAGCUUUUCACACUAGUCCUAACUUCCUUUCAGAUGCAGACAGUUCAAAUCAGUGGCAGAGAGCCCCAGUGCUGGGUGAGGGUGUUGCCAUGAGCAGAUCCUGUGUGGAAGCCAGCACCUCUCCCUGCCUAUUUUGCAGUUCACUGCAGAUCCCAGAAAUCCCACAGGAGGGAAGAUCUUGUGCUUCCACCACCAAGCGAGAGAAGAGAUGGUCACAUCCUAGGAGCCUGAUUUUGGAAUGUUUUAUGGAAAUGGCCCAGUGGCUUUUACUUCUGGGGUUCCUGGAGUCUGUUCAUGGCAGACUGUACCUGCUGAAAGGCUGAGGUGGGACCAGGAUCUGUAAAAUCCCUGACUCUCCAUGUCUUCCUGAGGCUGAAGCUGUGUUUGCUGUCAGUGGUGACAUGGUGGAAGAUGCUAAAGACUGAAAAUUUUGGGUUUUUUCCCGGAACCCAAGACUCUGUAGCUGUGCCCUGUCUGUCUCUUAAAAGAGUUUAUUGGUUUACAAAGGUUUUUACAUUCUGCAAUUAUUUACCUAUAACUCUAUUAAAAAGAAUCAUACUGUAUCAAUGUGGUGUUAAUUACUUUGUGUUGGUUAAUUAAAGCAAAUUGUUGAUAAGGGGUUUGAGCAUCCCUUAGUUGGAGCUGGCAGCUCUUAUUUAAUUUCUCUUCAUUCCUUUAAUUUCUUUCAAUUACUUCUUAAGCAAUUACUGCAAUGGGA